rnacentral:rRNA from 1 species
GAUGAACGCUAGCGGCAGGCCUAACACAUGCAAGUCGAGGGGUAACUAGAGUGAUAGCAAUAUUACUUUGGCUAGACCGGCGCACGGGUGCGUAACACGUAUGCAACCUACCUUAUACUGGGGAAUAACUUCGAGAAAUCGGCGCUAAUACCCCAUAACACUGCGGAGAGGCAUCUCUUUGCAGUUAAAGCUCCGGCGGUAUAAGAUGGGCGUGCGUCCAAUUAGCUAGUUGGUGAGGUAACGGCUCAACACGGCUACGAUUGGUAGGGGUUCUGAGAGGAUGAUCCCCCACACUGGUACUGAGACACGGACCAGACUCCUACGGGAGGCAGCAGUGAGGAAUAUUGCGCAAUGGACGAAAGUCUGACGCAGCCAUGCCGCGUGCAGGAUGACGGCCCUAUGGGUUGUAAACUGCUUUUGUACGGGAACAAACCCUUCUACGUGUAGGAGGCUGAAGGUACCGUAAGAAUAAGCACCGGCUAACUCCGUGCCAGCAGCCGCGGUAA